UGGUUACAGCAGCUUUUGGGGGUUUCUGCAAGAGGUGGGGAUUUUAAUCCUUGGACAAGCUUCUCCCUCAAAGAGCUGUAGUUGAACCCAGUCAGGAAAGGAAUGGCAGGCAGGGCGGUCAGCAGGACAAACAUUUCCUUGCUUGCCGCUGUUUCCAGCCCAGGAAUCAGGAUGGGAAGGGAUGGAGGGAUUUCUGGAGGGUGUCUGGAACCUGGUUCAGAG